rnacentral:lncRNA from 1 species
UGUUACACCUGUUAUACCUACUAGACGAGUUACUAGAGCUCGUGCACGCGAAUUGAAGUACCACAUACUUUCGUUUCUUGGAAAUCUUUCUAAUGUUCAUGAACAUAUGAUGUUGCCUAAAUUAGAUACUUUUGUUUUUCUUAUGAAUGAAUGACCUAGCAUGGACAAGGAGGAUAAGCAUUGGAGCGGGAUCAAGCAUGGAGGGAAAGGUGCACAUGCGGCAAAGAACAAGGGAGCUUCCAGUGGUGAUUUUCGGACUUUAAAGCCACCAUAAGGAAAGCAUGAAGGCUUGGACAAAAUAUACAAGAUGUCAUUUCAUAAAUUUUUUCCAUAGGCUAUUAUAGGUGUUGCGUCACCUUAUUUUUGGGCCAGGACCAUGCAAUUUUGAAAUACUACUAUGUAGGAUGUUUUUAGAGUCCGUGUGUGUGGAGAACUGUGUUUAGGGUAGUUUUCGGACCCCUAUUCGAAGGGUCACAAAAAUCCCUCUCUAUUCCCUCAUAUAUACAACCCUUAGGGCACCGUUUAGACUUAGGUUUUGUUGAUAUUACAAGUUCGCUAUAGCUGCAACUUCACGUUCUUCGUUUGUGUUCCACGGCCAGACAAAGGCGUCACAGGCCCCACUUUCAUCAAUAAAGCUUUCCUCUUAUAUUCGCAAUAUCCAGAUUGAAAUCUUAGUUUCUUGCUUGUUAUUCGUUUACGUGCAGGAAACAGACCCUUGUGGUCAGGUUGAUCAUGCUUCGGCGUGGUCAAUAACCUCUCGGAGUUGGUUUAGUGAUUGCUAAGACGCGACGUCCUCACACUUUUGUAGUUGGAUCGUCAAGUCUACUCCACCAAAAUUGAUAACCACCAUCUCAUCGAAAGACGGGGACCCUCGCCUCUAUCAAAAAGAUAUGGCCAACACAAGAUGAUAUGUCAUGAAUGCCAAACGUAUGCAAAUUACAACCUCAAGCAUGUUAAAACAUCGAUGCAACAAUAUAU